CUGCCAACCGUAACCUACAACACCAUGGUUACAAACAUCUGAGUAUUAAUCAUUCUGAGAAUUUUGUAGACCCAGACAACCCAGAAAUACACACACAGAAUGUAGAGAGGUUGUGGAGGGACCUGAAGGAAUGGGUCAAGCGGCCAGGUAUUAGGGCCGAUUACAUCAACCAAUAUCUGGCCCGCUAUUUAUUUAUAAAAUCACAAGAAACAUCACUGAUACAUUCAUUUUUCAUACAAGCGGCAGAACUAUAACCGCCGCAAGGCGGGAAAAGAAAGGACUCUGGAGUCAGCUGCCCCAGUCCCUCUGGAUGAAACAUCUUCAGAGAGCGAGUGAAAUAAGGUUUGAGCCAGUCAUGCUCAGGUCUAGGAAGGACAAGAUCUAGUUGGUUACCAGCUUCAUUAGAAAAUAGAGAUGAAUAAGGGGAUUCUAGCAGACAAGUUAUUAAAGAGAGUAGUCGUCCCUCGUCAGCUAGAAGUAUCUACACUCUGCCUUGGACGUGCCUCACCAGCAGCAGCUUAUCCAAGUGUCUUUAGGACGUUCUAGACAAUAUCCCCACCAUGCUGCUAAGUGCGAUGAAAUCUAUCAAGAAGUGUGACAAAUGCCAGUUCUGCAAGGGAUGUGCCAAUGCGAAAUUCUUGCAGCUGCACCUACAUGCACCUGAAAGGGUUUCUGCUGUUUCUGAAGGAAUAGAUUUGUGAUGGAUCAGACACUUCUUUCAUCAUACAAAUCUGUCUGUUGGCCUAAGUACACCAUCAACAGUGAUAUGUCUGCAGUAAUGAGGGAAUGACUUUCCCUCUCAUGGGAUACUGCAAAAGAUGUCACUAGAAUAGCAAGAUAAGCUUGUACACGGAUGUUGACAGGAGAUUAGUAUAGAUGGUCAAAAGGAGGGUAUAUUGUAACCAUUAAGACUUAGAAACUGGCAGCUUUGCAGAGAAAAAUCUUCGGAUGAGGAUGGAGAAGACCUAAGGAGCUGUCCUGGAGUAACCUGACGAAAAUGACAUCAAUCUUGGAAAGUGAAAAUGUACAAGUACCAAGUGACCAUACUAAUCAUAUGAUAAAGUCGUGGUGGAAUACAGAAUUAUCAAUUAAUGAAUCGCUUGUGAUUAGCUAAGUACUGCGUGAUAAUUUGUUGUUCAAGAACCUUCACUUCCAUCAAACACAGACGACAACACAAACAUCCCAGUCCUCAAGAGAACAUUAGUGAACCUGGAAAACAAAAGGAGACCAGAUAGCUUACCUUCACUAAUGCUAACUCUCAUACUAUGUGGUGAUGAAACAUCAAAUAACAGUGAUUAAAUUAUUUAAGAAAUUUAGAAUGGCAUUUCUUUCCCCCCCCCCACUCUAGAUAUCUUGGAUAUUAUAGUAGGGUAGUCUAAUCUGUAGAAAAUUUAUAUCUAUACGCAAAUCAUUUCAACAUAGCCAAUAGGAAACUGAGCAAUGUUGAGGAUUACAUGUCUCUUAAUAAUUAGAACUCAAACACGUCUGUCUUGGUCUGUUUGGGAAGUAGAUACAUUACAUUGCUAUUGUCAAGAGCAGAACUAGAUGGAGAUCAUAAAAUCACACCUACAUAUUAAGGACAAUACUGAUGUAAAACAAAAAGUAAUAAAAUGAUGUAAAAAAAAAUAAUACUUUUUAAGGUAAUUUAAAGAAAUCUCAAAAACUUGUUGAAAGGAUGAAAGGUUGACUAUGUGCCAA